UCACGUGACAGGCGGUUGGUUUGUACCCUAACGAUCAGAGUUACCAGAAUCCGUGUUUCUGUUCGGUAGCCCACCUGAUUUACUCUUUAUUGGUCUAAGUACUAAAGGCUUGGACUGGUUUAAACCAGUCACUUGAAGAGGCUGAACUUGGGCGCGGACCUCCGGGCCACCAGCCAAUCCCCUGGGUUGUCCCUAAAUAUCUCAGCGGAGUCUUUUCUGUGCCCCCACCUAGUAAAAUGAGGAGUCAUCAGUUCAUUCCACGACGAUUGAGGACUUGCUAUGUACCAAAUGCUAAUCUAGUCACUUGUUAUAGCUGGACAACACAAGUUCCCUCUAUAAAUUCUGUCGUAACUAAAAAGAGUGACAUCCUGACGACUGCCAGUGUCCCUGGCGCUUUUCUAAGAGUAUGUGAUAACACCAGAGGGAAAGUGACUUUACAGCUGUUUUUAACAACGGCUUUAAUAUUUUCCUGUUCACUAAUUCAGAAGCCAAAUGUUUUUUUUUUUUAAUUUCACAACAUUUUAAAAAGGAAAAAUCAGCCAAGGACUCCCAAGACCACGUUUUCAGCUGAAAGGAGAUUUGCCCCAAACAAACUUGAAAGCUGUCGUCACAGUUCCAGAUGCAAUACAGACGCACACCUACUGUGUGGGUCAGUACAGCUGGCCAGUGGACUCUCAGUGGCUCUGGACCACCCAUCUCUCCAUCACUGCCCAACCUGGCGAUGGAUGCCUCUCCAAGUUUUAAGAUUUUAGGAAUGAAUACGGAGACCAAAAGCCACAGAAAUAAUAUAAUGCCCAAUUAUACAGAUUUAUAAAACUGCUAAACUGAAACUAUCUGUGUAUGCCAGUUUUAAAAAUUAGUUAAAAAGGUCAGACUUCAAAAAAAAAUUAAAACUAAAAAGGAAUUCUUAGUAAACCACUGUGCACUGUUUAUUACGCCCACAAGAGGAAUACGAAAUGACGUGUGCUCCAGUAAAGACUGCCUUGACUUAGGAAAGAUCAAAACCAAAAGACACAAAUGAUCUGAAUUUUAUCUUAAAAGAAGUACAGAUAAAUUCCUAGGGAGAGAUCUUUGGAUGGAAGACUGUGAGUUUGGGCAUCUUGCAACAAGCCCUCCAUCCAUCCAUCCAUCUCACCCCUCAGGAAUCUCUGCAGUCCCUGAAGCCAAGCCAAGGCCUUCAGGGAAUACUGGAUUCAACAGGCUCCAGGAAGCUCUUCCCAAGCCUUACAACUGUAAGCAAGCAGAGCCCACCUCAGGUACUGACCCUGGAGGCUGCCGACGAGUGAGCAGGGGUUACCCCCAAGCCAGCCCCAAACAAGGACUUUCCUUGUAUGCCCAUCACACUGCUGUGCGUCCAUUAAACAAACACCUUGCUACCCCCAAAA
rnacentral:sRNA from 1 species